GAUGAACGCUAGCUACAGGCUUAACACAUGCAAGUCGAGGGACCGGCGCACGGGUGAGUAACACGUAUCCAACCUGCCCUUUACUCGGGGAUAGCCUUUCGGAAGAAAGAUUAAUACCCGAUAUAAAGGAUGGGGAUGCGUUCCAUUAGGUUGUUGGGGAGGUAACGGUUCACCAAGCCUUCGAUGGAGAGGGGUUCUGAGAGGAAGGUCACCAACAUGGGAAAGGAGACCCGGGCCAAACGCCUACGGGAGGAAGCAGCGAGGAAUAUUGGUCAAUGGGCGCUAGCCUGAAUCAGCCAAGUAGCGUGAAGGAGGAAGGCUGAUGGGUCUUAAACUUCUUUUAUAUAAGAAUAUGUAGUAUAUGAAUAAGGAUCGGCUAACUCCGUGCCAGCAGCCGCGGUAAUUC
rnacentral:rRNA from 1 species